rnacentral:rRNA from 1 species
AUUGAACGCUGGCGGCAGGCCUAACACAUGCAAGUCGAACGGUAACAGGAAGAAGCUUGCUUCUUUGCUGACGAGUGGCGGACGGGUGAGUAAUGUCUGGGAAACUGCCUGAUGGAGGGGGAUAACUACUGGAAACGGUAGCUAAUACCGCAUAACGUCGCAAGACCAAAGAGGGGGACCUUCGGGCCUCUUGCCAUCGGAUGUGCCCAGAUGGGAUUAGCUAGUAGGUGGGGUAACGGCUCACCUAGGCGACGAUCCCUAGCUGGUCUGAGAGGAUGACCAGCCCAACCGGAACCGAGACAAGGUUCAGACUCCUACGGGAAGCAGCAGUUGGGAAUAUUUGCCAAUGGGGGGAAGCCUGAUGCAGCCAAGCCGCGUGGAUGAAGAAGGGCUUCGGGUUUUAAAAUACUUUCAGCGGGGAGGAAAGGAGUUAAAUUAAUACCUUUACUCAUUGACGUUACCCGCAGAAGAAGCACCGGCUAACUCCGUG